CAUGUAGCUCAGUCGGUAGAGCACCUCCUUGGUAAGGAGGAGGUCACCGGUUCAAGUCCGGUCGUG
rnacentral:tRNA from 1 species